CAACACCACCAACACCAAACCCCUCCUGCCCUCAGACUCCCACCACACUGGUUGCCUCACCUCCACCCUCCUCAUAAGCCCCUAGGUACCUUGUUGUGUGUUUUUUAUGAUGUCAGCUCAAGCUUCUGUGGGAACGACCUCCUCUGUUCGUAUUACAACUAAGACAACAACUGCGCCUCCAUCAACAUGAACUGCUGAACACAGCCAUGAUGUCUAAGCAAAGAAUAUAAAUUGAGAGGCCCGACACAAUGCAAGGGUCAAGCAUCAACCCUUUAGCUUAUUUUUCAGCUGCAUGAGCCCUCUACCUCAAAUACCUGCCCUUUGCUCUCAUGACUUCCCUCUCCCUCUUCUUGAGUACAUACUCCUUCGUUUUGUCCUGGAACAAUAACCCGGAUGAGUUACAGCAAGCACGACAGCCGAACAAAGUGCAGGUUUUACUGCAACAUCUGUUUGCCUAAAAUCCGCGUUGACACCUCUUGUGUACAAGAGAAGAGAGCUGAAUAUAUUUUUUUGACAAAGCCAGAGAACUACCGAGGGAGCGGCGUGCACGCCAGCGGUCUAGCAGCCACAGCCGUGCUCCGACUUGCAGACUGCCACCACCAGUGGGUAAUUGGCCCCGCAGGAUCCAGGGUGGGAUGGUGCGUGCAGAUGGAAGAGUCGUAUCCCAUAAUCUCCGAGGAGGGCAUGUUGCUAUAGGGAAAUGGAGUGAGGCACACCAAUUAUUACCAGCGUCUUCUUCCACAACACACCUGUUUGCCCUGCCUGCUGCUUAACCGCCCAGCUGAGAGUCAUGACCAAAACCCGAAUGAAUGGCCCUCUGUUAGGGCACUUUUAGAGAAUCCAUUGGAUGCAGGUUUAUAAUGAAUUCUUUCAGUAUUUUCAGUAUUUACACUGCGUGUAAAACGUCACAGCUUUUUGUCCUUACUGUCUGACAUAAAUCGGGUUAGGUUAACCUGAUACAUUAUUGUUUGUAUAACAUUUAACUUAGUUUGUUUUUUUUUAACUUCACCAGUAACACCUGCAUAGAUGUGUACCAGUAUGAACGUGUAUAUGUACAUGCAUAUAUAGUCACACUUAUUGUUUUUCAGUAUUAUUUCUGCACUCUGGUAGCUGAGCAACGACAUUUCGUUGCCAAAUUCCCUGCUGCGUCUUUGUGCAAUGACAACAGUGGAAGUAGGUCUCUAAACUUGAACCAUUCAGGUCAGCUUGGCUUGCCAAAAUUAUUUAUAAAAUGACAGAACAAUGUAAGAGAUAAAAUGUUAAAGAAUUGUUGUUUGACUUCAGAUCUAAAACGUUUGCAUAAACCUUUAUAAUAUUUGGUAGAAUUUUGAUUUGGAUCAAAUAUUCUUGGUAUUUUUACAGAAAGCUUCUUGUACUGGUUACCUGGACCUUUGGGCGACUCCUGGCCAAGUCAGGUGUGUACUCUGCUUUGCUCACUCACAUCUUUGAAGAUGCGUACAAACUGUAAAUGCUCAAUAAGAUUUACACUCCAAUGCAUCACUGUUUGAUAAUUGAGAUCUGUUGGAAUGUAAGUGUGAUUCAAUUGAAAUGGCUUAUUUGUAAAGUGCCUUAAGAUGAUGUGUGUUGUGAAUCGGUGCCAUGUAAAUAAACGUAUUUGAAUUGAACAGAAUAAAAUUGGACCAACAACAGCAAAAGUCAAAUUCAUGAAAGAAAUGUAUUAUUAACAAUGCAGAAAUCUUACAUACCCUGCUAUUUUCCUAUAAAACAGCAAAAAUACACAAGUCCGUACAUGUGUAAAUAUGUUUCACAAAUCAGACUAAUGCAACUACAAACAGUAGCCAUUCAUCCGUCCAUCCAUCCCUCCAUUAUCAUACACGCUUAUCCCUGCUAGGGUCACCAGGGUUGCUCCAGCGAUCAACAGGCAAGAGACGCGGUGCAGCAUGGACAGGUCGCCGGUCCAUCGCAGACAAACAGUAGUCAUAUUAUUCCGUCUGAGUGAUUUUCUUUCUGUAGAGUUUCUUUGUGUUGUAUAAAUUAUUAUUCUAAACUACAUCUGUUUUAUGUAAAGUUUUAAUCAAACGUUUGAAAUAACCAAUGAGCACAGAAAGCACACCUGACUUUGCAGGUUUGUUGCUGAUCCUGUUCAGAUGGAAGCUCCCAUCGUACAAACAUCACCCAACCACAGCCGGAUGCUGCUGUUUCUUUUUCGCUUUUCAACCAUGUUGUCACUUUUUUGCCUACGAGCGUUUACAUUUGGUUCCCUGUCUCUCUGAGGCUUCGUGCAGCAGGCUGCAGCCUUCAUGACAUGUCUGUGUUUGCAUGUGUUUGUGCUGCUUGGUGUGCCCAUCAAAACAAAGUAGCAGCCCAUGCAUGGCGGGAUUCAGCCAUUCCUGAUGGGAGUUGACAGAGAGGUGGCUCUCUGGACAACACGCCACUACAGCAAAUUAAAGAGCCCUGACCAGGUGAAACUGAGCGCUGAAGCUGUAAAGAUAUGCUGGAAAAUGAAUGAAUUAAACAUAAGUAAUGAAUAGGAAAUCUUAUUUUAAAAUAAUGUAUGUUUUCAAAAUACUUUUGAGAUUUGAGUGUAGGGUUGUAGCGCUUUUGUUGGAGAUCUGGUUAGUUUUUCUGCUCACAGUUUAGCAUGUUAUGAAUUAUUCCUUCAUUUCUUCAUAUUUCGUCUCCAACCCGCCAGACUUUCAUAAGUUUUCCAACUGAAGUCACACUUAUGCUGCAAAAAUAAAAGACUUCAGACUCGACUUUGAUUUGUAUCCUAAAAGAAUUUAGACUCGACUUGUACUCGUGGUUGGAGACUUGAGUUUUGGUAACAGUUUAUAUCCAAUGUAGUGAAGCCAGUGAGUUAGAUAGAAACUGCAGCUGCAGUUUAUGUUGCGUUGAAAGGAUGAGCUUGAUUAUUAUCCAGUGACAUUGAGGAAUUAUUGGAUCACAAUGACUCAUAAUAAUCUAUUUAUGUUGGCUGUAACUUCAUUAUAAUGACCACGUGGAUUUCUCUUCAACUCAAUGAUGUAUUAAGUGACUUUUGAUAAUUUCAGAACAAAAUAAAUCUGACAAUCUAUCACUGUUAAGCUAUUUUUAAAAUAAGGACACUUCUGGCUGAAAAUAUUAAAACAAAAGCACCUCCCGUUUCAUUCAAUUAUAAGUUUAAGACCAUUACUUACUACACUGUCUUGUUCAUAAUGUUUACUUAUACUAAAUAUUUAAACCUAUAGAACAGAAGCCUGAAAUGAAAAUGUGAACAUAAUUUUUUUUAUUUUUUAAAAUCUCAAGCUCAGAGUGAGCAGAAGAAAACCUUCUAAGCCACAUUAAGUGCAAUAUAUAGUGAAGCCAUAAACAAGGGGUCUAACAUCUUUCCUUUAGGUUUUGCUUUGAAGCGGUGAACGUAAUCACUGACCAAUUGUCAUAAUAUAAAAUGGCUUUUAUGAAUGCUGAAUUAAAUAGAUGAAAUAGAAUUAUUAAAAAUAGAUUAAGGCAUAAUUGUUCCUAAAAAUGUAUAGAUUUAAAGAUAAAUUUGACCUCUUCUUGCAAUGAUUCUGGCCUACAGAUUCCUGACCUGCAGUGAUGCAGUUAGAGACGACCCAAAUCUUUCAUGAGAAAAUGUUUAUUUCAGUCACUGCUUGAAUUUUGGACUUCAACUUAUGGCAAAAGACUUGCUGUGUUCCCGAACUUCCCAAUAAUAUUUAACCAGAUUCUCUGAACGUUUUUCUCUGGUUUUGUAUAUUUUUAUUUUUAUUUUUUUUUGGACUUUGACUUCUUUCUCACUAUUUUUCAGUCACAUAUGUGGCCAUUUUUAAAGGUGCAAAACAAUUCUAAUCCCAAGGGAUGAACUAGUCACGUCUUUGCACGUAACAGCAGCUUAUCAAAGAACCAACAGUAAAUUUUAUAUUGAUUGGCUUUGCUUUCAUCAACCCGUCACAAACAUACGUUGUUGUUUUUUUUCUAUUUUGUUUGCAGCAAACUUGAUCUGAUCAACCAAUGAUGAAUCUCUCUGCUAUUUAGAUAACAUUUUUCUAUUACUGAAAAUUCUUUGAGAAGUUGUCAAUCUUUCAUGAAUAUCUUUUUUAUGCCUGACAGUUUUUUUUUAACUGCUUCACUCACUAUUAAGCCAGUACCACACUACAUUUUGUCAGUGUCAGUUAAAAAAAUGCGUAAAAAGUUUGCCAAACAUUAAAGAAUGUCUUAAAAGAUCACAAGAGAGAGACCAGUCCUCCAGUUUGUUUGUAUAAAUGUAAGAUGACCAAGCUGACCCAUAUUAAAGUGCAGUCUGUAAGCAUUGUAAGAAGCCUUCUUUUAUUGCUGCCACUCAUCUCACUUCGUUUGACCCCCAUGAAGAUUAAACAUAAUAAAGAAUUUAUUUCCUUCUAAGCCUUCUUGUCCUCCCUUUUAGUUUUUGAGUGCAAUUGGUGAAUAUCGCUCUUCUCCUUAACUCCCUCUCUGCUCAGCUCAAAUAUAUGUUUUGGCUUCGACGAUGAGGAUUACAGAGAGCGGCGCGUCUUCCCAGGCUAUAAAUCCCACUUAAUUGAAUCCCUUCUUCUCUUUACCAGCAGUGAUUUAGCAGCAAAAGGCAGCAAUGUAAUGAAAUGCUUCCAUGACGGCUUUAUGUGAUGAAAUCAUGCGAAAACAUGGAGCAAAAUCUGCAUUAGUAAUACACUUGGAUUUCAGUAUUUUGUCAGAAAGACAAGUAUUCAUACUCCUGAAUGUUGUUCACUUUUUUUUACAUUACAGCCACAAACACAAAUACAUUUAAUCUGUAUUUUAUGUGCCAGACAGACACAAAGUAGUCUAUAAAUAAAGAUCAUUUUAAAACCCUU